rnacentral:rRNA from 1 species
UACGGAGGAUGCGAGCGUUAUCCGGAUUUAUUGGGUUUAAAGGGUGCGUAGGCGGACGCUUAGGUCAGCGGUAAAAUUGCGGGGCUCAACCUCGUCGAGCCGUUGAAACUGGGUGCCUUGAGUGGGCGAGAAGUACGCGGAAUGCGUGGUGUAGCGGUGAAAUGCAUAGAUAUCACGCAGAACUCCGAUUGCGAAGGCAGCGUACCGGCGCCCAACUGACGCUGAAGCACGAAGGCGUGGGUAUCGAACAGG